GACGACCUCUGGCGGCGUGCUUAACACAUGCAAGUCGAACGGAAAGGCCCUGCUUUUGUGGGGUGCUCGAGUGGCGAACGGGUGAGUAACACGUGAGUAACCUGCCCUUGACUUUGGGAUAACUUCAGGAAACUGGGGCUAAUACCGGAUAGGAGCUCCUGCUGCAUGGUGGGGGUUGGAAAGUUUCGGCGGUUGGGGAUGGACUCGCGGCUUAUCAGCUUGUUGGUGGGGUAGUGGCUUACCAAGGCUUUGACGGGUAGCCGGCCUGAGAGGGUGACCGGCCACAUUGGGACUGAGAUACGGCCCAGACUCCUACGGGAGGCAGCAGUGGGGAAUAUUGCACAAUGGGCGGAAGCCUGAUGCAGCAACGCCGCGUGCGGGAUGACGGCCUUCGGGUUGUAAACCGCUUUCGCCUGUGACGAAGCGUGAGUGACGGUAAUGGGUAAAGAAGCACCGGCUAACUACGUGCCAGCAGCCGCGGUGAUGCGUAGGGUGCGAGCGUUGUCCGGAUUUAUUGGGCGUAAAGGGCUCGUAGGUGGUUGAUCGCGUCGGAAGUGUAAUCUUGGGGCUUAACCCUGAGCGUGCUUUCGAUACGGGUUGACUUGAGGAAGGUAGGGGAGAAUGGAAUUCCUGGUGGAGCGGUGGAAUGCGCAGAUAUCAGGAGGAACACCAGUGGCGAAGGCGGUUCUCUGGGCCUUUCCUGACGCUGAGGAGCGAAAGCGUGGGGAGCGAACAGGCUUAGAUACCCCGGUAGUCCACGCUGUAAACGGUGGGUACUAGGUGUGGGGUCCAUUCCACGGGUUCCGUGCCGUAGCUAACGCUUUAAGUACCCCGCCUGGGGAGUACGGCCGCAAGGCUAAAACUCAAAGGAAUUGACGGGGCCCCGCACAAGCGGCGGAGCAUGCGGAUUAAUUCGAUGCAACGCGUAGAACCUUACCUGGGUUUGACAUGGAUCGGGAGUGCUCAGAGAUGGGUGUGCCUCUUUUGGGGUCGGUUCACAGGUGGUGCAUGCCUGUCGUCAGCUCGUGUCGUGAGAUGUUGGGUUAAGUCCCGCAACGAGCGCAACCCUUGUUCACUGUUGCCAGCACGUUAUGGUGGGGACUCAGUGGAGACCGCCGGGGUCAACUCGGAGGAAGGUGGGGAUGACGUCAAGUCCUCAUGCCCCUUAUGUCCAGGGCUUCACGCAUGCUACAAUGGCUGGUACAGAGAGUGGCGAGCCUGUGAGGGUGAGCGAAUCUCGGAAAGCCGGUCUCAGUUCGGAUUGGGGUCUGCAACUCGACCUCAUGAAGUCGGAGUCGCUAGUAAUCGCAGAAGAGCAACGCUGCGGUGAAUACGUUCCCGGGGCU
rnacentral:rRNA from 1 species